AUGCCAUCCUUCAACCAGAGUAUUUUCCACCCUGCAGUCUUCUUCCUUACUGGCAUCCCUGGCCUUGAAACCCGUCAGAUCUGGACCUCCAUCCCAUUCUGUUGUCUCUAUGUCAUUGCUAUCUCUGGGAAUGGCAUGAUCCUGUUUGUCAUCAUCACUGAGUCAAGCCUCCAUGAACCCAUGUAUCAUUUUCUCUCCAUGCUAUCCUUCAUGGACCUAGGUCUGUGUCUUUCUACAUUGACCACCAUGCUGGGUAUUUUCUGGUUCAAUGCUCGAGAAAUCAGUUUUGAUGCCUGCAUUGGCCAAAUGUUCUUUAUCCAUGGCUUCACAUUCAUGGAGUCCUCAGUACUUUUGGCAAUGGCCUUUGACCGCUUUAUUGCCGUCUGUAACCCACUGAGAUAUGCCACAAUCUUAACCAAUUCACGGAUUAUUAAAGUGGGCUUUGCAAUUGUUCUUAGGGGAACAACAGCUCUAGUGCCUCUACUCCUGCUCCUUAAGCGCCUCUCCUUCUGCCGUAGUCAUGUGCUCCACCAUUCCUACUGCUUCCACCCUGAUGCGAUGAAGCUCUCAUGCACAGACACAUGGAUCAACAGUGCAUUUGGCCUGGCCAUUGUUAUCUCUACUGCUGGCUUAGACUCUGUCUUGAUCCUCAUCUCCUAUGUUCUGAUCGUCCGCUCUGUGCUCUGCAUUGCCUCCCCAGAGGAGCAGAAAAAGGCUUUUGGUACCUGUGUCUCUCACAUCAGUGCAGUUGCCAUCUUCUACAUCCCCAUGAUCAGUUUGUCACCAGUGCACAGAUUUGGAAAGCAUGCCCCUCCCCUUGUGCACAUGCUCAUUGCCAAUGUUUAUCUGCUUAUCCCUCCUGUAAUGAAUCCCAUAAUCUACAGUGUAAAGACCAAGUAAAUUCGCAAGGCUGUGCUCAAAGCAUUUCUUUCUAAGCUAAUUUAGGGAAGUUUGAGUGUACUCCUUCUUUACCAAGUCUUCCCUGACCCAUGUUUGAUCAUUCAGUACUGUGAGUUACUGUUGUUUAUUGAAACAGCUGGUUUCAACAUGCUUUCUUUCUAUUCUGAUGAUCCACUAACUUACCAUUUACACAGUUCUAAAUGGUGAGUUAUUUAAGGGCAGAGAUUAUGUCGGUACUUCUGAUCCUUUCAUGAAUACUGAACCUAGCACAGUAUAGGACCACAGUUAAAAUAUGUCUGAAAGCAUGCACAAGUAAAGUCAUACUUGGAGUUUAGGAGUCUCACCACCUCUAGAGCAUGUAGCUAUCCAAAGUAGAUCUCAUGUAACGUAGAUCAGUAGGCAAAGUCUAGGUUUUAGUAAUUCUUACAGUUUAUUUGUGAUGAUUCAUUAUUCCACCAGACAGAUUGUAAAUGGCUGAAGAAUAUGAAUAAGCACAAUAAGCAAGAAGUAUUAAUAAAAGGACUACUUUCCUAAUUCUUAAAAGAGUACUUGAGGUCACCUUGGUAAAUGCAUUUGUAUUUUAAUAGUAGAAGAUCUGGGGGUCCAUUGUCUAAAUAUAUGUCUAAAGAAGAAAAAUGGGCAAGAAUGUAAAGAUAUAUUGUGAUGUUCAACACAUCAUUCAUUAUACAUUGCAAUGAACAUGUGGAAACUGCUUAAAUAAUUACUUUAGGGUACUGACCUAAUAAAACAUAAAAUACAAUGCAACAAGUUAAAUACUGAUACAAAUAUAAAUUACAUUUUGUUAAAAAAUAUAGGUUAGUAUACAAAGUACUUACUUGUGUAUAUAUUUCAUGUGAAUAUGUGUAAAUGCACAUUAAAAAGUAUAAAUAGACAUAUCCCAAACAUUACAACAGCUUAUAUUUGAUAGCUGGAUAUUGUUUUGCUGACAUAUUCUUUACACUUUCUUGCAUUUUAUAAAUGUUCAAUAAUGAGGGUUUCUUUUUCUUUUUGGAUAAUGAAGUAAUUUCCACUUAAUACCUUCCCACAAAACAAAACUUUUUUAGUUCUUCAUCUUACAUAAGAUCUUCAUUCCAGUGGGUCUUCACAGAUCUGGCCUCAUGCAACCCACUGAAUACACUCAUAAGAUGACAUCCACUUUCUACUUGCAUCUAUCACUUUUCUCAAUGUGGUCCAGCAUCUGUGCAUCCAAACCACUUGACACUUCCGUUUAAAGUGCAGAUUCCUCAAUUCCGCUCCAGAGCUACUUAAACAGAAGCCCUUGAAAUGGAACCCACAAAUUUGCAUUUUAACAAGACAUUUACGGAUUAUCAUGUAUGAAAGAGUAACACUUUUCUGGGGUCUAUCCACUUUGAUGAAUUAUAUAUAUUUCUGAAAAACACCAGGAAUAUAUUGCCUCUAAGUCUGUGAUUAUUUUGCUCUCUCUGACUGACAUACCCACCUCUUUCUUUUCCUGAUUGUUCCAUUUAUUAUUCUUUCAGGUGCUGUUAAUAAAUCUUUGUCUUACAGGGAGUCAGAUUUCUCUUCCCCUACUGAUCUGAAACUUUUUGAAAAUGGGCAUUGGACUUUGGGAAUUGAUGUAUCUCGCACAGAUACAAGUGCAGUGCUUUAUUAAUAAUAGCUACUUAAUGUAUGCUUAUUGAAUUAAAUUUAUUUUUAUAUAACUUCACAUAUAUACUGACAUAUUUUGAGCAUCUUCAUUUUGGCAAACACUGUGGAAGGGAGGUACUAGGGAUAAAACAGUGAAUGGGGAAGGCACAGCCUUCAUUCUUAAGGUGUUUAAAUCUGACUAAACAUAUCUAAAUUCAAACAAUAUUUUAAUCAGUUUUUACUUACAAACUGUGUACAAAACAUUAUACCACAUGCUAAGAGUAGUCAUAGAUGGCGGUCUCUCUUUCUCCCAGUAGAAGCCUGAACCAAUGGAAAAACAACCAG
ensembl:lncRNA novel transcript